GACGAACGCUGGCGGCGUGCUUAACACAUGCAAGUCGAACGGAAAGGCCCUGCUUUUGUGGGGUGCUCGAGUGGCGAACGGGUGAGUAACACGUGAGUAACCUGCCCUUGACUUUGGGAUAACUUCAGGAAACUGGGGCUAAUACCGGAUAGGAGCUCCUGCUGCAUGGUGGGGGUUGGAAAGUUUCGGCGGUUGGGGAUGGGCUCGCGGCUUAUCAGCUUGUUGGUGGGGUAGUGGCUUACCAAGGCUUUGACGGGUAGCCGGCCUGAGAGGGUGACCGGCCACAUUGGGACUGAGAUACGGCCCAGACUCCUACGGGAGGCAGCAGUGGGGAAUAUUGCACAAUGGGCGGAAGCCUGAUGCAGCAACGCCGCGUGCGGGAUGACGGCCUUCGGGUUGUAACCGCUUUCGCCUGUGACGAAGCGUGAGUGACGGUAAUGGGUAAAGAAGCACCGGCUAACUACGUG
rnacentral:rRNA from 1 species